GCUGGGCAUAGUAGCGCAUGCCUGUAAUCCCAGCACUUUGGGAGGCCGAGAUGGGUGGAUCACCUGAGGUCAGGAUUUUGAGGCCAGCCUGGCCAACAUGGUGAAAUCCCGUCUCUA
rnacentral:SRP_RNA from 1 species